ACCGCUAACAGUUCCAGCUUAUGAUUUUCAAAAUGGCUCCGGUGGCUUAUUAGGGCUAGCCACCACAGCCCAUUUUCCAGUACCUUCCACUUCACGUAUUGGUGUUUCCAGCAGUUGAGCUUCGUCUAAUAGUAACAGUUUAUCCCCUUGAGAGUCAUAUGGGCUGAACCUUCUGGUUUUCUUCCGCACAGGAGUUUUCUUGCCACUUAGCUUCUUUUUGUUGGAGCAAGCUUGUGCCAUGAUGGAGUUCAGUUCCUUGGGAAGUCCUUGGUCACGAAUCAAGAACUCGGGAAAGUUAACCUGUUGCUCACUUUGAUCUUCUGAAUUGCUCCUUCUAGAGAGUUUAGUUUGUGCGUUAUCCUCCUCUCUUUGAGAAGUUUGCUGGAUGUGGGUCGAGCUGCUCUCUCCAUAUAUAACUAUUUGUCCAGAGUGGGUUGGUGUUUCCGGGAUUCUUUCCUCUUCCAUCGGUUGUGCUAAGUCUUUGCUGUGAAAUAACUUCCGAAACGGACUAUAGUUGCUUACUUCAGCCUUCAGCCAAGGGCCGAAAAGUCUGUCUUCCUCUAUGUUCACAUCCUCGACACUUAAUGGCAGCUCCUCACAGUCUGAAGCAUAAUGUCCUAUUUUUCCACAAGAGAAACAAAAAUAAGGGAGCCUCUCAUAUUUAAAAUCGAGCCUAAUUUUCUUUCCUUCAUUAUCAGCGAGCAUGCCUGACUGUAGAGCAACCUCACGAACAACUUCCACUGAAAGCCACUCAAAAGGGAGCCCCAGAAUAUGUACCCAGAAGUCACAUGAUUCGAAUCUAUAGCUUAAAGCAGAGGUGUUUGGUUCCCAUGGUUUCAAUAUCAAGAGAUUGUUCAUGAAAGACCAAGGACCAAGGUCAUCACUUUAUUCCUCACAGCUAGGGAAUCAAAGGUUAUAGCAAAAAUACCCUGCUCUAAAGGUGUGAAUACUGCACUUUCCACUCUCCGCGCCCUCCUCAUUGUGUUUUGGAGAGCUUGAAAGUUAAUUUUUGGAUUUUUUAGUAGU